rnacentral:other from 1 species
UUUCCUGGGGUGUUCGACAUCUCCGUCAUUUUUGAACCUACAAAACGAUAAAAGGGAUUCCAAUAUUUGUAUAUGGCUGUCAGGCCUCCUUAGCAGUGGAAGGCAAAAGUAUACGUGAGGUCACCCACCUGGCUUCUGGCUGGGAGUCAAAAAGCGGAAACGGCACUCCGGGAUUU